GACGAACGCUGGCGGCGUGCUUAACACAUGCAAGUCGAACGGAAAGGCCCUGCUUUUGUGGGGUGCUCGAGUGGCGAAAGGUUGAGUAACACGUGAGUAACCUUCCCUUGACUUUGGGAUAACUUCAGGAAACUGGGGCUAAUACCGGAUAGGAGCUCCUUCUGCAUGGUGGGGGUUGGAAAGUUUCGGCGGUUGGGGAUGGACUCUCGGCUUAUGAGCUUGUUGGUGGGGUAGUGGCUUACCAAGGCUUUGACGGGUAGCCGGCCUGAGAGGGUGACCGGCGACAUUGGGACUGAGAGAAGGCCCAGACUCCUACGGGAGGCAGCAGUGGGGAAUAUUGCACAAUGGGCGGAAGCCUGAUGCAGCAACGCCGCGUGCGGGAUGACGGCCUUCGGGUUGUAAACCGCUUGCGCCUGUGACGAAGCGUGAGUGACGGUAAUGGGUAAAGAAGCACCGGCUAACUACGUG
rnacentral:rRNA from 1 species